rnacentral:rRNA from 1 species
GGCACUACGGUGCUGAAGCAACAAAUGCCCUGCUUCCAGGAAAAGCCUCUAAGCAUCAGGUAACAUCAAAUCGUACCCCAAACCGACACAGGUGGUCAGGUAGAGAAUACCAAGGCGCUUGAGAGAACUCGGGUGAAGGAACUAGGCAAAAUGGUGCCGUAACUUCGGGAGAAGGCACGCUGAUAUGUAGGUGAAGUCCCUCGCGGAUGGAGCUGAAAUCAGUCGAAGAUACCAGCUGGCUGCAACUGUUUAUUAAAAACACAGCACUGUGCAAACACGAAAGUGGACGUAUACGGUGUGACGCCUGCCCGGUGCCGGAAGGUUAAUUGAUGGGGUUAGCGCAAGCGAAGCUCUUGAUCGAAGCCCCGGUAAACGGCGGCCGUAACUAUAACGGUCCUAAGGUAGCGAAAUUCCUUGUCGGGUAAGUUCCGACCUGCACGAAUGGCGUAAUGAUGGCCAGGCUGUCUCCACCCGAGACUCAGUGAAAUUGAACUCGCUGUGAAGAUGCAGUGUACCCGCGGCAAGACGGAAAGACCCCGUGAACCUUUACUAUAGCUUGACACUGAACAUUGAGCCUUGAUGUGUAGGAUAGGUGGGAGGCUUUGAAGUGUGGACGCCAGUCUGCAUGGAGCCGACCUUGAAAUACCACCCUUUAAUGUUUGAUGUUCUAACGUUGACCCGUAAUCCGGGUUGCGGACAGUGUCUGGUGGGUAGUUUGACUGGGGCGGUCUCCUCCUAAAGAGUAACGGAGGAGCACGAAGGUUGGCUAAUCCUGGUCGGACAUCAGGAGGUUAGUGCAAUGGCAUAAGCCAGCUUGACUGCGAGCGUGACGGCGCGAGCAGGUGCGAAAGCAGGUCAUAGUGAUCCGGUGGUUCUGAAUGGAAGGGCCAUCGCUCAACGGAUAAAAGGUACUCCGGGGAUAACAGGCUGAUACCGCCCAAGAGUUCAUAUCGACGGCGGUGUUUGGCACCUCGAUGUCGGCUCAUCACAUCCUGGGGCUGAAGUAGGUCCCAAGGGUAUGGCUGUUCGCCAUUUAAAGUGGUACGCGAGCUGGGUUUAGAACGUCGUGAGACAGUUCGGUCCCUAUCUGCCGUGGGCGCUGGAGAACUGAGGGGGGCUGCUCCUAGUACGAGAGGACCGGAGUGGACGCAUCACUGGUGUUCGGGUUGUCAUGCCAAUGGCACUGCCCGGUAGCUAAAUGCGGAAGAGAUAAGUGCUGAAAGCAUCUAAGCACGAAACUUGCC